UCUACACAAAUUGCUACUUGGCAAUCUGUAAGUAAUUGAUAAAAAAUUGUGAGCUCAUGUCGUUCCACGUCUCCACCAACUAACCGUGUAAUACAAUUUGUGUUACUAGCUAAAUAUAAAUUAUUAGUUUUUUUUUUUUUUUUUUUUCAAAAAAGAAGUUAUUUGAUUCCGCAAUUAGAAGAUGCUAAAGAGUGAAAGAAGGAUAGGAAGUAAAUGACGCAAGCAGAUAUGGCUUUUAUUUUCUCGGUUUGGCUCAAAACGAGAUAGGGGAAGAAAGAAAUUGAUGAUAGAGGAAGAUUUGCUUCCAUUUUGUUUUUGAACCAUCAAUAGCUGCGGUUUCUUCAAGUGUUUGGGUUGCUCAAAGACCACCGGAAUAUCCAUUUGUUGAGUUUGAUGAUCACAAGGAUCCUCUCAAUGCAAUUCAUACAUUGGAUGGAUCAAUUGUUUUCUUAUAUUGAUACAAAUACUUGAGCACUCAAGGAGAAUCUGAAAGUUAAACUCUUUCAGUUUUCCCAUGUCCCGAAAAUAUCAUCACUCCCGAUGAUGUACGCAACAUGUGGCACAUUGCUUUUAGUACAUUAGCUCUCCUUAGAUUUGAAGAAAGUGUUCUUGGAGCAGCCCAAAAUUUUCCUUUGGAAACAUGGUAAAUAGGUGAGAAGAGAAGGAAGCUUCAGAUAGAAGGGCAUUAUCAUUUGUUCUGUCAUUGGUCAUGGUUCAGCAUUUAAUUUUCUUUUUGAUGCUAAUAUGGAAUAAGUGGACACAAUUUAUGCCUUAUGCCUGCAUAUCUUUAUUUUAAAUUCAGAUUUCGUGACUUUUUUCUAAUAAUACUGCAAACUAUUUUUGGUAGCCCAAUUAUCAUUUGAUCCUCUUUUCUAUUUCUUUUCAUUUUUUCCACCACAAAUUCUUAGCUGAAUACUCUUAUUUCUUAACAAGAAGAUUAUUCAAUCAUGAAGCAUAAUCAUUUUUUUCCUGGAGACGGAAACAUAAGUCAAUCUCUUGGAGUCCUAAGUGAAUCUCUGCUCACUUCUGUUUCAAGCACAUUUUUUUUUUUUUCCUUGUGGGUUAGUUCUCAAAAUUUUCAUAUGAGCUUGCAGCCCAGUCAUGUUUAUUCGCAAAUGCCACUGUCUUUCCAAUAACUGAUAUUCAUUAUGAAUGCCUGAGAGUAUAGACAUAAUGGAUAAUUAAUUAAAUAUUUUCUUCUCAUUUUUAAUGCCUCAUUAAUUGGGUGUACUCUAGGGAGCUAUUGAAGCAGAGGACAUAAUUUCAUAUUUUGCCAUUCCGUUGUUGCCUACCUUAAACAGCUGCAUGUAUUAUCACUUCAAAAACAAAAAUGUUACUGUAUCGAUUUGGUAAAUAGAAAAUGCCAUUUGACUUUACAUUAGUGUUACUUGUGAGCAGGACCAAGUUGAAGGCUACCUAGAAUUGUCUGCCUAAACAAAGAUAUAUUUUUCGCCUGCUGAUGCUAUAUGUGGGAUGCAGAAUUUCUAUAUUAAAGUUGAUGAUGUCUUCCAUGUAAAUAUAAGAUGGCGUCAAGGAUAUUGAAAGCACUGUUGUGCGUUCUUUUGAUAGAAUUUUUUUUUUUUUUUAUCCCUCUUUGGGAUCGAUAUUUGAAUUCAUGGAGAUUCAAGAGAUAGGUUCAACAUCUUUGUUUACGAUCCAACAGAACAAAAGAAAUGAAUAUGUGGUUCAAGUUUAAUACAUUGGAAGACUCUAUUUUUGUGAACUAUAUUGAACAAACAAUUAGGCAUAUGAAGGAAGACAAACAUAUACAUUUUUAGUA